UACGAAGGGGGCUAGCGUUGCUCGGAAUCACUGGGCGUAAAGGGUGCGUAGGCGGGUCUUUAAGUCAGAGGUGAAAUCCUGGAGCUCAACUCCAGAACUGCCUUUGAUACUGAAGAUCUUGAGUUCGGGAGAGGUGAGUGGAACUCCGAGUGUAGAGGUGAAAUUCGUAGAUAUUCGGAAGAACACCAGUGGCGAAGGCGGCUCACUGGCCCGGUACUGACGCUGAGGUGCGAAAGCGUGGGGAGCAAACAGG
rnacentral:rRNA from 1 species